GUAGGGAAUAUUGGACAAUGGGCGCAAGCCUGAUCCAGCCAUGCCGCGUGAGUGAUGAAGGCCUUCGGGUUGUAAAGCUCUUUAGUCCACGAAUAUAAUGACUGUAGUGGAAGAAUAAGCCCCGGCUAACUUCGUGCCAGCAGCCGCGGUAAUACGAAGGGGGCGAGCGUUAUUCGGAAUCACUGGGCGUAAAGCGUGCGUAGGCUGUUUUGUAAGUCAGAAGUGAAAGCCCAGGGCUUAACCCUGGAAUUGCUUUUGAAACUACAAGACUCGAAUUCGGGAGAGGAUAGCGGAAUUGUCAGUGUAGCAGUGAAAUGUGUAGAUAUUGACAGGAACACCAGUGGCGCAAGCGGCUAUCUGGACCGAUAUUGACGCUGAGGCACGAAAGCGUGGGGAGCAAACAGGAUUAGAAACCCCUGUAGUCC
rnacentral:rRNA from 1 species